CGAGCAGGCCGGACGGUCGCGGUAUCCCCUCGGGGAUAUGGAGGAAAGUCCGGGCUCCAAAGGGCGAGGUGCUUCGUAACGCGAAGGCGGGGCAACCCGACGGAAAGUGGAACAGAAAACACACCGCCUACGUCUUCCUCGGAAGGCCGGUAAGGUUGAAAUGGUGCGGUAAGAGCGCACCAGCGUCGUGGCGACACGGCGGCUUGCAAAACCCCACCUGGAGCAAUUCCAAAUAGGGGAGCAUUGGCGUGGCCCGCGCUGCUCCCGGGUAGGAAGCUAGAGGCGCACGGCGACGCGCGUCCCAGAUGAAUGGCCGUCUCGGGGGCUCAGGCCCCUAGACAGAACCCGGCUUACAGGCCUGCUCGCGCU
rnacentral:RNase_P_RNA from 1 species